rnacentral:rRNA from 1 species
GAUGAACGCUGGCGGCGUGCCUAAUACAUGCAAGUCGAGCGAACAGAUAAGGAGCUUGCUCCUUUGACGUUAGCGGCGGACGGGUGAGUAACACGUGGGUAACCUACCUAUAAGACUGGAAUAACUCCGGGAGACCGGGGCUAAUGCCGGAUAACAUUUAGAACCGCAUGGUUCUAAAGUGAAAGAUGGUUUUGCUAUCACUUAUAGAUGGACCCGCGCCGUAUUAGCUAGCUGGUAAGGUAACGGCUUACCAAGGCAACGAUACGUAGCCGACCUGAGAGGGUGAUCGGCCACACUGGAACUGAGACACGGUCCAGACUCCUACGGGAGGCAGCAGUAGGGAAUCUUCCGCAAUGGGCGAAAGCCUGACGGAGCAACGCCGCGUGAGUGAUGAAGGUCUUCGGAUCGUAAAACUCUGUUAUUAGGGAAGAACAAAUGUGUAAGUAACUGUGCACGUCUUGACGGUACCUAAUCAGAAAGCCACGGCUAACUACGUG